UGGUAGUGGGCUCAGAUUUGGCCAAGUUAAUCUAAUGAACAAGAUCUUAUGGUCGUACCGAACUGCAUUUGGAAAAAAGUGAACGGUCUAGGACAAAAUAUUUAUUUUCUCUGUUCGCAGUCCACAUCUCCAGAAGUCCAUGGUUCGUUCAGCCUAAUAUUCCCUAUAUUUCAGUCAUCAGUAUGUUGUGGUUAUGGCACCGAUGGAAUGGGAAUUAGCGGCUUUGACUGCCUGAAUAUUCCGGGUGCAUUAAAUCCAGCAAACAUGGCUAUUCCCGGAAAUUCCCGUAUUUGCGGCAGGGAUGCAGGCCUCGUGCAGAAGACCGCAAUUGCUUUUAACACCAAAACUGUAUGUUCAAUGACAACUCCAUUCAGCAUUCGGUUUUUAAGCGACGCAUUCGAGUUUUCUGGAGCGGCCAUUACGGAAGCUGCCAAAGAGGAUAAGGGAUUUCAACUGGUCUAUUUGCAAUCGAACACAGGUUGUUAAAAACCUGCCUUGGCGCGAAUUCAUUGUUGCACGAAAAGCUAUCCAACAUUUUCGAUAUUUUACUUUUUUAUUAUAAUAAAUCAUUAUUAUCAUUA